GUGAAUAUGUGGGCCUGCGGGCCGCUAUAAGCAACAGCCUGAUGGACCAAGCUCUCACAAGUCAAGCCUGGCCUUGGGCCGAGCUUGGGGAGUAGAAGAACUCCCAGAACCCCAUCAAGCAGGGAUUACGUACGAAGAAAGGGGCAGGGAGGUGCCAGGAGAACUCUCGACUUAAUGGAGCUGUCACUAGAGGCAGCCUUGGAAUAUUAGAGCAAGUCGCAAAGCUCUCACCUGGCGGCACUCAAAAUAGCUAAUUACAAUGAAAAAACUCACUAUACUACGAUAUAACUGCACAGUAUUCGCAGAUAUAUAUAAUGGCAUGAUACAAGGCUUGAACAAAUCAAACUGAUGUCAUUAUGCUGUUGUUGUUGUUAAAGAUUCGCUACCUGGAACUAAAUGAUCCAAGUAGCACGGGCUAUGGUGAGCCCGUAGUCAUUUUGCUGCAGGCGACAGCAAAAUGAUGACUUCAACACAAAAUGAUUAUGACUAUCACCUACCUCAAAAGAAGUAGGUGAUGACUUAAACAAAAGGUUUAGUGGUUAUCAAAAGAUUUCGGGACGUCAUCAAAACAGGACUGUGAGGUUCACGACGUAUAAAUCAAAUACUGUACCGAGAAAAAAAAAUGAGUGUCAAGUCAACGUAAUCAUGUUCGAGGGUAUGACUCUAAACUUGCUGCGUUCACCUUCAGCUGUAGUGUAAACAGUCCCUAAAUCACUAUAACCUAAACACCUCACCUAACCUAGCUAUACAUAAACCCACAAUAUAUAAUAAUGAUAUACAAUUCAGAAAAAAAGUUUGUUACUAUACAUUAUAUAGAUUCAUCUUGUCAAUUUGUUGUCUGCUAAAUCAAAGCUACACUUAGUUAAAACUAAGCCUGACGACUCGCGUAUGAGGUGAAUAUUGGGGGGUGGUAUAUGUGCUAUCACCGGUUCCUACACACCCAUCAGACACAUAUGUGUCUAUCUAUAUGGUAUAUAGGUGGUAUGUGCUAUCACCGCUCCUGUGCCAGGUAAGUCCACAACAGGCUCACCAUAGCAUCGUGCUACUUGGAACUUGUUCAGAGUAGCUGAAUCUAUAACAACAACAUCCUACACACCUCCACUUAAGCGAAAGGAGGUUUAGUUGUAACAUUGAUCAUGCCCUUGUCUGCACGACGAUCUUCAAUGUGCUACAGAUCAAGAUUGAGGAAUUGUUUGGUUUCCAGCCACUGCCAGAAAAAAACAAUAGUGAUGAAAUUUAAAAACAGUGUGACAUUUUCUUUCUGAAAAAGCAUGAUGAUGACAUUAUCAGUCUGCCUAAUGGGAAAGGAUCGGUGCAAGUGAUUAAUUUGAGCAAGACGUUUACAUAUUUUUCUGUGAGGGGAUGCGCCCUUUGAAAUGUCGAAUGGAACUAUUACUCGCAUACUGGAACAAUAUGGGAAGUGAACAAUGUUCGAAUCAAUAAAUAUACUUUGGAGCAGGCUGUUAAGGCCCCUUGCAUAUGGAUAAGGUUCACGUGCAUUACAGUCGUAAUAAUUAGUAAAAAAAAGCGGCGUUGCCAAUAUCAAUUGUCUAGGGAUUAGAGAAACGACUGCUUCACAAACACAUCAAUAUACUUCAUGAAGGGGUAACAAAUAAAAAAAACAAUAAUAACAUGAAACACAGGUACUAGGUAUCUCCAGAAAUAUUCAAACAUUCAUGAGGUGAAAUAACACGUCAUUAGCACUGAUAACUUUAAAUAUUAUAUAUGAAUAAAUGGGUAUGCAAAUAAUGGUCUAACCAGAUAAUUAGCUAUGUUAACUGAACUAAAACAGGCAAUUUUGACUUAACUCAUGACUGCAGAUCCAACCUAAUCAGCUCUACCCACGCAACUGACUGCUAGACUCCUAUGCCUAUCUAAGUGUGGUGUCUACACUUUGCCAAGUAAGACCCGCAAGAAUACUCUCAGAUAUAUGUAUGUGUGU